rnacentral:rRNA from 1 species
UACGGAGGGGGCAAGCGUUGUUCGGAAUCAUUGGGCGUAAAGGGCGCGUAGGCGGCCGUCCAAGUCGGGUGUGAAAUCCCUCGGCUCAACCGAGGAACUGCACUCGAUACUGGUCGGCUAGAGUCCGGGAGGGGAUGGUGGAAUUCCCAGUGUAGCGGUGAAAUGCGUAGAUAUCAGGAGGAACACCGGUGGCGAAGGCGGCACUCUGGGCCGGUACUGACGCUGAGGAGCGAAAGCGUGGGGAGCGAACAGG